rnacentral:tRNA from 1 species
GUUGUGGCUCAGUGGUAGAGUGCUCGCCUAGCAAGUGUGAGGCCAUGGGUUCGAUUCUCAGCAUCACA